GACGAACGCUGGCGGCGUGCCUAACACAUGCAAGUCGAGCGAGUGAAUCUCCUUCGGGAGUGAAGCUAGCGGCGGACGGGUGAGUAACACGUGGGCAACCUGCCUCAUAGAGGGGAAUAGCCUUCCGAAAGGAAGAUUAAUACCGCAUAAGAUUGUAGCUUCGCAUGAAGUAGCAAUUAAAGGAGCAAUCCGCUAUGAGAUGGGCCCGCGGCGCAUUAGCUAGUUGGUGAGGUAACGGCUCACCAAGGCGACGAUGCGUAGCCGACCUGAGAGGGUGAUCGGCCACAUUGGGACUGAGACACGGCCCAGACUCCUACGGGAGGCAGCAGUGGGGAAUAUUGCACAAUGGGGGAAACCCUGAUGCAGCAACGCCGCGUGAGUGAUGACGGCCUUCGGGUUGUAAAGCUCUGUCUUCAGGGACGAUAAUGACGGUACCUGAGGAGGAAGCCACGGCUAACUACGUGCCAGCCGCCGCGGUAAUAC
rnacentral:rRNA from 1 species